GAGAAAUGGAUUUCCAGACAAAGGUACGAUAAAGGGUUACAUUGGGUGUUUAAAAUGAAUUCCGAGGUACCACUGGAAUCCAUUCUUUAAUCAGUGAAUGUGUUUAUGAUUGCUUAGGAAACAUUUUGUGUUAUGACUUGCCUAUUAAUUACAAGCCAGAUCCCCGGGAUGGUAAUUAUAGUUACAGCAUAUCAACUGCCUUCAUAGUUUUGUCAGCAUCCAGCGUAAAUUCCUUAGAA